UGAAAUGUAGAUCUAUGGAGCACAAUUCUUCACAGCUCUUGAUUGCAGUCCACUCUUGAGAUGGAAAGGAGAUGAGGCUAAGGAAUUGGAUUCCAAAGAACAACCAAGGAGGUUGAAGUUAGGAUCUGAAAAUUGAAAGUGAAAGAGAUAAAUUCCUUUAUGUGAGGUUAUGGAUUCAAUUUUGCAGCAUAUCAGGUGCCUUCAGGUUGGAGAAUAGUGAAGUUGAGCAUGCUUAUUUAUAGCAAAUGGCAAAGGCAAGCAUGAGAAUUAUGUGUGCAUGAA
rnacentral:lncRNA from 1 species